rnacentral:rRNA from 1 species
GACGAACGCUGGCGGCGUGCUUAACACAUGCAAGUCGAACGGAAAGGCCCUGCUUGCAGGGUACUCGAGUGGCGAACGGGUGUGUAACACGUGGGUGAUCUGCCCUGCACUUCGGGAUAAGCCUGGGAAACUGGGUCUAAUACCGGAUAGGAGCCAUUUUUAGUGUGAUGGUUGGAAAGUUUUUUUCGGUGUAGGAUGAGCUCGCGGCCUAUCAGCUUGUUGGUGGGGUAAUGGCCUACCAAGGCGGCGACGGGUAGCCGGCCUGAGAGGGUGGACGGCCACAUUGGGACUGAGAUACGGCCCAGACUCCUACGGGAGGCAGCAGUGGGGAAGAUUGCACAAUGGGCGCAAGCCUGAUGCAGCGACGCCGCGUGGGGGAGGACGGCCUUCGGGUUGUAAACUCCUUUCGCUAGGGACGAAGCUUUUUGUGACGGUACCUAGAUAAGAAGCACCGGCUAACUACGUG